UCCCUGAUAGCUCAGUUGGUAAAGAAUCUGCCUGCAAUGCAGGAGACCUGGGUUUGAUCCCUGGUUGGGAAG
rnacentral:tRNA from 1 species